AAUAAAAGGGAAACCAUGGAUAUCGUCUGGGAAUGUAUAAUCUUCUUGGAAAAUAAGACAGGCACCCAUGAAACAUUUACAACCAAAUAAGGUGGUUUGUAAACUUUAUGUUUUAAUGAGUGAUACAAACAGUGAAUGCUGGCAGAAUUCAGAGAAAGAAGAAAUCUGUGUUGGUAGAGUGACAGGCAAGCAUAAACACCAUCAUUAGAAAGGCAAAGGAGAAAAGAGGGCAUCCACUGGGUGGAAUAAGACCAGAUCCUGUUUUGGUCAGCAGAAUUCUGACCAGAAAACAAGUGCUGCUGGUCUCCUACCUCCAUUUGAUAAGCUGGAGUGCAAUGGCAUAGUCAUGUCUCACUGCAACCUUGCUCUCCCAGGUUCAAGAGAUUCUUCCACCUCAGCCUCCCAAGUAGCUGGGACUACAGGUAGACAUUGUUGAAGGAUACCUCAAAGUACCCAGAAGGACAGGAGGAAUUGCAGAACCUCAGGCUGGAGGGUAUCCCUCAAAACGAGCAAGACACAGCUCUGCGACUGGAUGCAAGCCAAGAUCCUAGAUGACUCAAUUUUUCACUCUAUCAGAUGAAGACAAUACUUGCCAUCUCCCAAAUAAAGGUUAUGAGGAUUAAUCUGUCCAUAAUGCAUUUGGAGAUCCUUGCAAUAAAGAUUAAAACCAUGUAUAAAAUUUACUAUAUUUUAUAGGUGUGAGUUUUCAAGAUCAGUUAUCUUGAAACUGUUUAUUCCCUAAGAAUUGGGCCUGCAGUUUAAUAUCCUAUGACAUGAAAUACAUGGUUCAAUCUUAGUUAGGGAUCCACAGUCUUCAAUAACUAGGCUUCUGUUGGUAUAGUUAAUUAAGAGAGAUGAUAGCAAUUCUCCACUUACUAUUUUUGCCUGCAUUUAUCCUUCCUGAAAUAUGGUUGAAAUUUAAAACAUGGAAGCUGGUUACUACUUACUCCUAGACACCAUCCUAGAAGUAGCACAAGAUGGGUCAUACGGCUGAUUUAAAAUCUAGAAUAUAAAUGUGACAUAAAAUGUAGGAUUAAUAUUUCAAAAAAUACACCUGUCCUAGCCAAGGAUACUUUUUUCCUUAAUUAAAAAUGAUAUCGUUAACAUUACAGUUUACUGAUUAAAUGCCAUUUACAUAUUAGUAUUUGCCUAUUAGCAUUAGGAAGAAAAUACCUUCUAACAAUUCACAUCUGCCUCUUCUCUAAACUCAUUAACAAUUCCUAUUCACCAUAUUGUAAAGACAUUUACUUUCAAGAUUUCAGGCUUUAAUAGGCCAGGCAUGGUGGCUCACCUCUGUAAUCCCAGCACUUUGGGAGGCCGAGAUGGGAGGGUUGUGUGAGGCCAGGAAUUUCAGCAAUAUAGGGAGACCCCCAUCUCUACAAAAAAUUAAAUACAAUUUAAAAAUUAACCAGGCGUGGUGGCAUAUGCCUGGGGUCCCAGCUCCUUGACAGAGGAUAAGGUGGAAGGAUCGCUUGAGCCUGGGAGGUCUAGGCUGUGCUGAGCCAUGAUCACACCACUGCACCAGCUUGGGCAACAGAGCAAGACCCCAUCUUAAAAAAGAAAUUAAUGGUUUAAAAAAUAGCUUCAUGACUCAAGUCACUGCAGCUUCAGAGUUGUUUUAGCUUUUAGAUAGAUAGAAGUAUUUUAGCCUUUCCCAUCCUGUGUGCAAUUUAACAGCAUCCAUGAGUGUAUUUAACAAUAUUACUUUUCACCCAAAUUCUCCUAUUCAUUUUUUAAAUUCACUUAUUUUCACUUAUUAUUAUUCAUUCAACAAACAUUUAUUAAAUGCCUACCUACUAUGUGCUGAAGCUUUGCUGAGCGAAAAGAUGCAAAUAAAACAUUAUCCCUGCCUUCAAAGAAAUUCAUUGUAUAGUAGGCAAGACAUAGAAGGAAAUAUGUGUUUCUAAUUCAGUAUUUUUUAAAUCAACAAUUCAAAAAAAAAUUAAAUGAGUUUUGUAGCAUCCAUGGUUUUGUAGUGUGAUCAUG
rnacentral:lncRNA from 1 species